AGGUACUUGACAGAAUCAUAUGGUACAGGCCAAGACAUUGGCGAAAGAAUAGUUGAGGCCAAUCCUUUGCUGGAAGCUUUUGGAAAUGCUAAAACAGUGCGAAACAACAACAGUAGUCGAUUUGGGAAAUUUGUAGAAAUUCAUUUUAAUGAAAAGAAUUCUGUUGUAGGAGGAUUUGUGUCACAUUAUCUUUUGGAGAAAUCCAGGAUCUGUGUGCAGAGUAAGGAAGAGCGAAACUAUCAUAUAUUUUACCGGUUAUGUGCUGGUGCUUCUGAAGAUAUUAGAGAAAAAUUUCAUUUGAACUCUCCUGAUAACUUCAGAGUAAG